rnacentral:rRNA from 1 species
GACGAACGCUGGCGGCGUGCCUAAUACAUGCAAGUAGAACGCUGAAGAGAGGAGCUUGCUCUUCUUGGAUGAGUUGCGAACGGGUGAGUAACGCGUAGGUAACCUGCCUUGUAGCGGGGGAUAACUAUUGGAAACGAUAGCUAAUACCGCAUAACAAUGGAUGACCCAUGUCAUUUAUUUGAAAGGGGCAAAUGCUCCACUACAAGAUGGACCUGCGUUGUAUUAGCUAGUAGGUGAGGUAACGGCUCACCUAGGCGACGAUACAUAGCCGACCUGAGAGGGAGAACGGCCACACUGGGACUGGGACACGGCCCAGACUCCUACGGGAGGCAGCAGUAGGGAAUCUUCGGCAAUGGGGGCAACGCUGACCGAGCAACGCCGCGUGAGGGAAGAAGGGUUUCGGAUCGUAAAGCUCUGUUGUAAGUCAAGAACGAGUGUGAGAGUGGAAAGUUCACACUGUGACGGUAGCUUACCAGAAAGGGACGGCUAACUACGUG